CAGUAGCCGCGGGAAAACGUAGGGUGCGAGCGUUAAUCGGAAUUACUGGGCGUAAAGCGCGCGCAGGCGGUUGUGUAAGACAGGUGUGAAAUCCCCGGGCUUAACCUGGGAACUGCGCUUGUGACUGCACAGCUAGAGUAUGGCAGAGGGGGGUGGAAUUCCGCGUGUAGCAGUGAAAUGCGUAGAGAUGUGGAGGAACACCGAUGGCGAAGGCAGCCCCCUGGGCCAAUACUGACGCUCAUGCACGAAAGCGUGGGGAGCAAACAGGAUUAGAUACCCCGUAGUCCCUGUCUCUUAUACA
rnacentral:rRNA from 1 species